AGAGUUUGAUCCUGGCUCAGGACGAACGCUGGCGGCGCGCCUAACACAUGCAAGUCGAACGAGCGAGAGAGAGCUUGCUUUCUCGAGCGAGUGGCGAACGGGUGAGUAACGCGUGAGGAACCUGCCUCAAAGAGGGGGACAACAGUUGGAAACGACUGCUAAUACCGCAUAAGCCCACGGCUCGGCAUCGAGCAGAGGGAAAAGGAGCAAUCCGCUUUGAGAUGGCCUCGCGUCCGAUUAGCUAGUUGGUGAGGUAAUGGCCCACCAAGGCGACGAUCGGUAGCCGGACUGAGAGGUUGAACGGCCACAUUGGGACUAAGACACGGCCCAGACUCCUACGGGAGGCAGCAGUGGGGAAUAUUGCACAAUGGGGGAAACCCUGAUGCAGCGACGCCGCGUGGAGGAAGAAGGUCUUCGGAUUGUAAACUCCUGUUGUUGAGGAAGAUAAUGACGGUACUCAACAAGGAAGUGACGGCUAACUACGUGCCAGCAGCCGCGGUAAAACGUAGGUCACAAGCGUUGUCCGGAAUUACUGGGUGUAAAGGGAGCGCAGGCGGUAAGACAAGUUGGAAGUGAAAUCCAUGGGCUCAACCCAUGAACUGCUUUCAAAACUGUUUUUCUUGAGUAGUGCAGAGGUAGGUGGAAUUCCCGGUGUAGCGGUGGAAUGCGUAGAUAUCGGGAGGAACACCAGUGGCGAAGGCGGCCUACUGGGCACCAACUGACGCUGAGGCUCGAAAGUGUGGGUAGCAAACAGGAUUAGAUACCCUGGUAGUCCACACUGUAAACGAUGAUUACUAGGUGUUGGAGGAUUGACCCCUUCAGUGCCGCAGUUAACACAAUAAGUAAUCCACCUGGGGAGUACGACCGCAGGGUUGAAACUCAAAGGAAUUGACGGGGGCCCGCACAAGCAGUGGAGUAUGUGGUUUAAUUCGACGCAACGCGAAGAACCUUACCAAGUCUUGACAUCCUGCGACGGACAUAGAAAUAUGUUUUUCCUUCGGGACGCAGAGACAGGUGGUGCAUGGUUGUCGUCAGCUCGUGUCGUGAGAUGUUGGGUUAAGUCCCGCAACGAGCGCAACCCCUCUCCUUAGUUGCCAUCAGGUUAAGCUGGGCACUCUGGGGACACUGCCACCGUAAGGUGUGAGGAAGGUGGGGAUGACGUCAAAUCAGCACGGCCCUUACGUCCGGGGCUACACACGUGUUACAAUGGCAGGUACAGAGAGACGGUUGUACGUAAGUACGAUCAAAUCCUUAAAGCCUGUCUCAGUUCGGACUGGGGUCUGCAACCCGACCCCACGAAGCUGGAUUCGCUAGUAAUCGCGCAUCAGCCAUGGCGCGGUGAAUACGUUCCCGGGCCUUGUACACACCGCCCGUCAAGCCAUGAAAGCCGGGGGCGCCUAAAGUCCGUGACCGUAAGGAGCGGCCUAGGGCGAAACUGGUAAUUGGGGCUAAGUCGUAACAAGGUA
rnacentral:rRNA from 1 species